rnacentral:rRNA from 1 species
ACGUAGGGUGCAAGCGUUAAUCGGAAUUACUGGGCGUAAAGCGUGCGCAGGCGGUUAUAUAAGUCAGAUGUGAAAUCCCUGGGCUCAACCUAGGAACUGCAUUUGAGACUGUAUGGCUAGAGUGUGUCAGAGGGGGGUAGAAUUCCACGUGUAGCAGUGAAAUGCGUAGAUAUGUGGAGGAAUACCGAUGGCGAAGGCAGCCCCCUGGGAUAACACUGACGCUCAUGCACGAAAGCGUGGGGAGCAAACAGGAUUAGAUACCCUGGUAGUCCACGCCCUAAACGAUGUCUACUAGUUGUUGGGUCUUAAUUGACUUAGUAACGCAGCUAACGCGUGAAGUAGACCGCCUGGGGAGUACGGUCGCAAGAUUA